rnacentral:lncRNA from 1 species
CUACAUAUUGGUGUUGGUGUUUAAACUAACAGAAAAAUAUACCAAACUGGACAUAUUUUUAUCCUGUAAAAGUUACUCUCCAUCUGAAUGAGAUAGUAGCACAGACUUAUUUGUAGAUUUUUAAACAAAAUGCAUAUGAUAGAAAAACAAAAUCAUGUACCAUAUGUGUAGCAUAAAUAUAAAUGCACAGACACUGCAAAGUCAUAUAAACUUACAGUUUGGUUAACAAAUUUUCUAAAAAGGC